UAUGAUUUUAGAUCAAGGUUCAACCCUGGCUCGAAAACUGCUCUAGUCCGACAUUGUCUAGACAACGCGACUCACGAACCAGAUUUUGAUGAGAAAGAAUUGAAGAUAUUGGACGUCGAAUCAGAUUGGUACAAGCGAAAAACGCUAGAAGCAUGCUACAUUUGGCUUUACGGCGAUUCGGCUCAAAAUUUCAAAUCGUUGAACAUGCUACAUGCGACCUACACUAAUGUGAUGAAUUCGUUCAAACAACUUCAUGUUGGUUAGUCUUUCAGUUUACGUCAUGUCGUUUCUGUCAUCGAAACAAGUUUCAAUUUUGACGAUCGUGUUAGUAUUUCACGAGAAAUUAGUUCCAAGUUUCAAAUUAGAAUGUUAAUGUGAUUGGAAUCACUUCCAAUUUAUGCUGAAGAUGGAUGACACAACAACAUCCGAAAUAUACGUUUAAUUGAAGACAAUUUCAAGUUUUCGUUAUUUACAUCAUCAUAGCCAACCUAAUCUCACAAACAAAUC